rnacentral:misc_RNA from 1 species
UUAUUAAAUAUAUAGUUAAUUGGUAGUGGAUAUGCAAACAUAAAGCAUUAAGAAUAUUCACACAGGCUGAAAAAAUGAUAUAGAGAAAUGUAACAUGUGCUAUCGCUGAUUUAAUAUAUACUAUGCAGAUCUAAUUUAUAAACAUGCCGCACUAGAUUUUUUACACCCGGAGCAUUUUUAUUUAAUUACUCUGAAACGAAGCUCCAUUUCUAUGAAAACCGCCUCGCUUUUCUCUAUUUAACACGUCAAGAAUUUCCACCUCUGAUAACCUAUUUCAUUUGGAUGCAAACUGUAAUCGCGUUUUUUCACUUUGAAAACGAGCAUGGCGUGAAAAACGUAUGUAACGACUUCGGCACAUUUUCAAACUUUUAUUUUUGCACCUCUGCUCUGUGUCGCAUCGCUUACUCGGUUCGUUACCUUUCAAACUCAAUUAGUUUAAUUAAUUUGACGUAACGGUGCCAUCUCUUUGUUGCCAAUAACAUCAACCCGUCCAAAGAUGUACAGAUUCUGCACCAGGUAUGAAAAACUCGCUGUGGGUCCCUGUGAUUUUUCAACUCACUUUUUUAAGCCCGGCGACUGCACUCGUCCUUUGGAAGACUUUAAAACAAUUUGCUGCACUUUUCCAGCAACUUCUUAUGCAAGUCUUAAAAUCGAACUUCUGCAGCUCCAGUGCUGUGUAUUCUGUACUUACUUCGGUCCAACCGCCAAUAAGUGGAUUAGUCUUUUAGUUGAGUGGCUUAACGAGUUGCAGCCAGAGAGACAAAAAAGGGAAAAACUGGGGAAUCUGACUUCCUUUUUUAGCUGAGCCCCUGUUAAGCGGCAAAUGUGGUGCAGCUAAUGUGUGUAUUAUUGGAUUUAUUAUUUCACGGCAACUAAACAGGGGACUUUACUGCCCAUCGGUUGAAUGGAGAACGCCGGGCUGGAAAAGUUCACGAGACAAUUAAGUGGAGUACAAAAGCAGAAGUACGGAAACGAGUUUUCCCUCUUAAUUUCCUCAUUGAACGACUAAAUGCUGCAAUCAGACAGCCACUUAAGCUUAAGUCGCUUCCUGAAUCAAUUGCCUAUGCCAGUUCUUUAUGAGCCAUGCAAAGUGCUUUGCAUUUCAAUGCAACAACCUAUAUAAUUGAUAGAAGUGACUUCUUCUUUAAAUUUUAAGAACUGAAUGACCAAUUAGCCUGGUGCUAUUCAAAUCUAUCUGCUGUUCCAGGGAAACGUACCAUGCCCUAAGACACUUGGAAUACAAUGAAUGAAGGAAUGGCUUUCAAUAAGUGAUGUUAGCAACCUAAUUAGUCGCGGAUCAAGCGUAGAAUCAACGAUUUACUAGAAGCUCGUCAAGGCUUCGAUUUAUUUCUUUCAAAACCUCUGCCAGAGCACACACCUCUGGUUAUUUAUGCCAUGAUACAGUGCAUCUGGCUGCUGUUCUCCGCAUUUUAUAUUCAAGAUACAGGCGCUUCAGAUAAAUGGUGCAAAGCUGACCUGUGCCGAGGACAACACGUGCUCUGCGAUGACAAUGGAAAUUUUGACUCCACUUGUCCCAAACAAGCCACAGCCAUGGUGAAAAUGAGCUGGGAUAUGAUAGCCCUCAUCGUUGACAAGCACAAUGAAUAUCGCAACAAGUUCGCCGGCGGAAUGGAUGAGAAUCCGAAGGCGGCGCGGAUGACCACCAUCGAAUGGGAUCCGGAACUGGCCAAAGUGGCCGACGGUCUGGUGCGUCGCUGUGAGCCCAUCCGAGAUCAAUGCGCCAUAACCCCAACCUACAACCAUGCGGAAGUCAGCUACUCGCUGGAAAAGUACUUCUGCAUGACCUCGAAAAAGGAGGCCCUGAGGAAGCAACUCGAUCACUGGUUUGACCCCAAUAGGAAAGAUGAAGUGCAGAAGCUGUUUUUCUCAUGGACUAAAAAUCAGCAGGAACUUUCCACAAACUACUUUCAGGUACUGAGGGAUCGAGCUAACCGCGUGGGCUGCGCCAUAGUUGAGUAUGUUCGUCCAGCGCUGGUCCACCAGUUGCUGAAGUGCGUCUACAACUGCGGAGUGAGUCUCUGCGAGGAGGAGGAUAAUCCCGUCUACGAGGACACCGACGAAGAAGCCGCUUCGGAGUGCAUGAAGGGGAGCAAUAAGCAAUACAAGAAUCUUUGCCACAAAGAUGAGCUCGUCAAGAGCUGCAAUGGCGGCUCACUUUUCGUCGAACCUGAAAAUGAUUAUAACGAUGGUCAAGAAGAGAAUAUGGAAAACGAUUAUGAGCACGAGUCCACCGUGUUCACACUUCCAACGUACGAUCCAAAUGAUGUGCUGCCAACGUUACCGGACAAUCCAGAUUUCAAUCCUUAAAAUAGGUAAGGAUUAGGAUCAGGAGUUUAGAUCAGAAAAUUUAAUUCAUUCCGAGCCAAUUGGGAUGAACAACAUGUGGGUUACAAAAUCCGCGAAUGUGAUUACUCUGUAAACGGAAAUGUGUGAUUCAUAUGCGCAACCCUAAUAUACGUUUUCUGCUCCUCUGG